rnacentral:rRNA from 1 species
GAGUCUAUGGACUUCGGUCCAUGGCGGACGGCUCAGUAACACGUGGUUAACCUACCCUUAGGUGGGGGAUAACCUUGGGAAACUGAGGAUAAUACCCCAUAGGNAAAAGAGGUUUGGAAUAAUCCUUUUCUGAAAGGACAUCCGCCUAAGGAUGGGACUGCGUCUGAUUAGGUAGUUGGUGGGGUAAUGGCCCACCAAGCCUACGAUCAGUACGGGCCUUGAGAGAGGGAGCCCGGAGAUGGGGACUGAGACACGGCCCCAGGCCCUACGGGGCGCAGCAGGCGCGAAACCUCCACAAUGCACGAAAGUGCGAUGGGGGAAUCCCAAGUGCCUAUGUAAAACAUAGGCUUUUCCCAAGUUUAAACAACUUGGGGAAUAAGGGCUGGGCAAGUCCGGUGCCAGCAGCCGCGGUAACACCGGCGGCCCAGU